UGAUAGCCAAGUUUCAAGAGUUAAGCUCUACCGGCGACCUUUUCUACCCUUGCCUUUCUUGCCUUUUUUGGCAUUCUUGGCCCGUUUUUUCUCGUCCAGUUUGCGCUUCUUCAAAAUUUGUUCCGGUCUCUGGAUCUCGUUCUUGGGUCCUUUCCGAUGUUUGGGCACGGAAUCACGGGCUUUCUUCAUAGCCGGAUGAUCCUCAGGCAAGCCUCCGCCCAUUUGUCCUGAAAAACAAAGGUAAAUGAUAGAUUUCUCAUGAUAAUCCAUCCAUCCAAAAAGGCAAAAUGCGGAUGGGACCCAAACAGACCCGACUCUACUACAACAAAUUCAUGAAAGUGUAAUACGUGUACUUAGUUAAUUCCCGGGUAGUGGUCAACCAAUUUUGGUAACGCCUUCUUUUUUCUCUUAAAAUGAACAAAAAAUCUUGUUUCAUUUUAAAGUGAUGUCAUGGUCAAGACUAAAAUAACUAGAUAUAACCACUACUCGUUUCUUUUUCGAAUCAAAAGUUUAUAAGUCAAUUUUGUCAGAAAUUGCCGAAUGACAAACUAUUAGAAUGAUUCACAAUAAGAACGGCUAUUUUCUUACGACGUAUUUCAAUUUGACUCAUUCGAGCAUUCAGCAACAGUGAACGCAAUUUCUUAAAAACUUAUCGCUCUCAGUUCCGAGACUUACUUGUUUGGGACCGUACACUCACCGAUCUGUUUAAGAAUAAUGUUUUUUAAUAAAUUAUUCAUUUUGCAAUAAGGAACGGCAACUCCAAUCCGUUAUUCAUUGAGGAGCGACUACAGCCCUGGUUAUUUCUAGACUUUUCAUAGUUCCCAUAUUCGUUUGUAAAAAAAACCAAGACUUGACUGUUCCGAUGUGACGCAAUUGCUAUAAGAUAUAUGAAUUUGACAGGCAGACGUUCGGUCAGGUGUGCGUGUGUCCUAUGCCUCUGUUCUUAAACAUUUUAGUUUUUUCCAAUAGUUUAAAUAGAUUAUUUGCUAUUUAAAUUACUUUUUUGCAGAUAAUAAUUCUCUUGAUAUAUUGUUCGCGACGAAAUCAAAGAGCAUACGUGCUUACGACAAACGAUUGCUUAAAAAAAUAUUGUAUUUAAUGACGGAAUAUCUUUCUCCAUUAAAACGGCAACCUCUCGAAGUUACGGGCGAGCUUCUGGAAGACGAACAGAUCGCCGUCCCAAUUCCAAAAGCAUGACCGUGGCUCCAAUCACUCUGCUAUGUAUGUACAAAGAGGUACUAAGUGCUAGAUGACUGAGCUUAGAACCCCGGUAGACGCUGGGCCUGAGAAUGAUGCUGAUAUUCCAAGCCCUUAUUGAACAAGUCAGGAAGAGAAAGAGGAAGAAAUGACGAAUCCGAGAUUACCGCAUGCCUAGCGCAUGAGGGAGUCAUUGUUUCUUUCGUUCAGAAGUCUUGGAAGCAUUAGACUUCUACUUUAGGUGGUAGCAUCAACGAACACAGCCCAGAGGUGUGUUUGUGUGUGUGUGUGUCCUUAUCAUUAUCAUGGGAGUGCGUCCGUGACGGAAAUGGUUAAUGAGAUUGGCUGAUGUUCAAACAUAUUGUAAUGACGAACAAUGAGGAUUCAUUUUCAUGUCAUCGAUUCCUCCGGAUCCUAUGUUACGUGGAUUGGACUCCCGAAGUUACCCUCAGAUCUUACGGGAUCUGGACGACAAUUGUCAGCGUCAUUUUACUCAUAAUUCAUAUUACCACAAAUGCCAUCGACAAUUUGUACUUCUAUGACGCCGUGGUUGACCUCGUCACCAUUCUCGUGAUUGCAAUCAAUGGGAUUUUUAUGCUGUACCAAGCCUAAAACUUGGACGAGAUUAGGUUAUGGUGGUACUUGACUCAUGGCCUCAGUACUCUGGUCCUUGUGGUAGCCCAUAUAUGCCAGUUUUGUGUGGCUUUUGUCAUGUUUGGCUCGUCCCCAACAUUGGCCGCCUGGUUUGUCAUUGUGAAAAGUUGCAUUCUAUGCGUGGCCGAGCCUUGGCUCUACUGCAAGAUCUUACGCGUUUAUUCUGCCAAAGAUGGGCCCUACACCAACGAAGAUUGCUUUUGUUGGUGGUGUUGCCCACCUGAAGGUCAACCUGGGGGCCAAUCACGACGAAGACGUCAGCAAAGGAGAGAUCUUCAGGUCAUCGAUCAGCCAGUUUGAUCAGUCACGAGUAACAAUCCGCUUCGGUCAAGGCUAUGUAGGGAGGGAUAUGAAAAUCGAGAUGUCCGGAUUCAUCACCACAAUAAUCGCCAAGGGAGGGAAAACAACGAGAAAUUGAUCAUCCAAAACCAGGUGGAAUUUGAUUACUUUCGGAUGGCUGCACUAGGUGGCGAUCGCCAUCAAUGUCAUGUAAUACAUUUCAGUACAGUGCAGUAAAAGUUGUUGACAAAUAAAUUGAUGGCACUUGAAACAACGAAACACCUAGCAAGAUCAGCGUGUCAUUUCCUUAUUUUCUUGUUUUGUGAAUAAACGACUCUAGCAAGAGAAAGAAAAGGAA